rnacentral:lncRNA from 1 species
AGUUGAAACAUUAAAUCAUUAUUAAAAUACGUGCUUUGUGAUACCUAAUGCUAGUUAAUACAAAUAAUUAUAUAUUACUUAUUGGUCAGUACAGUCUUACCUGAGCAUUUCAUCAGGAUAGAUAUCAAAAAGUAUAGUCAGCAGUCUCUCCCCGAUCGAUACCCUUCCUACCCUCUCUCCUAGCCUCUCAUUCUUUCUCUCCCUCUACUUCCCCGGCUCCCUUUUCCCCAUCUCUUAUCUGAUGCAGAGACACCGAAUAGCUCAGGUAAGCAUGGCAUCUAAAUGAUCAACAUUACUUCAAGAUUAAAGUUACAUAAUUAGUUUUGUCUUUUUUUUUUUUGGAAUGGAAUCUCUAACAACAUGAAGGGUACUGUGCAUACGAUGUAACGUAACAUCAAAGCACAAUUUUUGGUAUCCACCUUCUUUAUCAUUUUCCUAGACAGUUUACUUUAACAUAUUACUUUUGUGAAUGAUUUAGAUGGGGGAAAAAAUGUCCCUUAGUUUUUCUUUUCAAGCCACAGAAUGCACAUUCUCACAUUCGCACUUUUUUACUCUAGGAAAAAGGAAUAGAAUGUCUAUCCAAAGUAUACUUUCAACUUGCAGACAAUCGAUAUCUUUGAAGGAGACUUGAAGUGACAGCACAAAAGUAUCCCUGCUUCCACUGGGCCAAGCUAGGAAUAACGUUUGAAGUCAGUUGAAACUUUACAUUUUUGAAAGGUCUGCCCAGGUGUCAGUAAAUAUGAGAAAUGGGCUCAGAGCUGUGUGUAAAUGUAGGUUGCAUGCAUUUUAAGGCAGUCUUACAGGAACACAUUGAGAGAUCUGGCAUUCUUAAAAUCAAGCAUAUGUCAUAUCAACAUUCCUAGUACAAAGUAUUUUGUUACUGUUUCUGUGCUCUAAAUAGCCCCAUGCAAAGGCACAUCAUUGAACCAAAGCAUAUGGCCGCGGCUACUCAGUUAUGCUGAGCUAUGCUACAGUACCAAUUUGCUACUGCCUUACUCACCUUUUUCUACACAUUUGGCAAUGGAAGUUGCGGCUCAGAGAUCAUACUAUAGAAAAGAAAGAAGUAAAUACAGGAGGGUGGGUGGAUUGCUGCUGUCAUGAAAAAUGGAAGGAAAGGGGACUAGGGCAACCCGAGGUCAGUGGGCCCUACAGCUCCACAGUGUUAUUGUCCGCUCAGAAGAUACAAAAAACAAAACAAAACAAACAAUCAAAAACCCAACCCACCAGCCUUUUCCCUACUUCUCCUUUCUAUGAAUGGGAAUUAUUUUCCUAAGCAUCCUGUUGGUCUCUGUUUCCUUACUUGUUUCGUCCAAGGGGAAGGUGGAACUGCUUAACCUACUGAUAUAUUUGAGAAUAAUUAAGCAGGUCAUACCCACCGGACCCUCUCCCUCUUGGGAUAUGCUUAGCUAGCUAGGUAAAUCUAACUGCGGGACUCAGGGUAAAGGCAACAUUUUAAGUCUCAUUUGACACUGUUUUGUUUCUCAAAUUGCUAACAACCCAAGUGGAAAGGAGGAGUGCUAUGUAUUGGGGCCCACUCAGGGACUCCAGCAGUGAGGAAAUAAUUCUUGGCCUUUAUUCUAGUGUUUGGGACUGUGCUACACCCAACAGGAACACUUGUAAGGAGCAGCCACGUUAUCUAUGGAAAGCCCCCAACAAGGAAGACAGACAGAGCCUGGGGAAUGUAAGCAAAGAAGGGAAACACUGGGCUAAAUGAGGGGCUGAGCACAGAAAGAGUCCUGGUUUUCUGCUUGUUCAGGAAAGAAAACAGCAAGGAAAGCAGGGCUUCCUCACCUCCGUGAUGCCUGUGGUCUGAUCAGAGGUAGAACAUCUGCUGCCUUUGAAGUUCAGGAGAUCAGGAAUGUGUGUUUGUUACUUUAGAACAGUAGUAUGGUAGUUUACUAAACUAUGGGCCAGGAGGGUGUUAUAGGUUGAUUUGAGAAACUUUGAUCUACUCUAACAUUAUAAUAAUAAUAUUUUGCUGCCUUAAAAAAGCAUCUUAACUUUUAACAACUAAUUUGCAAAAAAUAAUUCUCAACUUGAUUAUAAUUGGAGAUUCACUGGAAUUAUAAAAAACAGGUAUAAAGCAGAAAUAGAAACAUUUCAAGUUAAAAGGAAAGAUGACCCUAAAGACAGAGUAGACAGUCUAGCAUUCUUUUUUUUUUUUUUUUUUUUUAAGAUUUUAUUUAUUUAUUUGCCAAAGAGAGAGAGAGAGCACAAGCAGGGGGAGUGGCAAACAGAGAGAGAAGCAGGCUCCCCAAUGAGCAAAGAGCCUUAUGCAGGACUUGAUCUGGGGCCCUGGGAUCAUGACCUGAGCCAAAAGCAGACACUUAACCAACUGAGCCACCCAGGUGUACCGACAGUCUAAGAUUCUUAUUUAACAAUUCAGUGUUAAAGACUGAGCGAUCCUACAUAAACACAUCAUCUAUGAAAGCUAGGUAUUUUUCACUAUAUGUAAAUAUCAAUGGGGGGAGAAUAAAGCCUCUUUUUAUUUUGUUAUUUUGUUAUACUUUGAUUAUACUAAUCUCAAAUUUUCUUUCUUGUUUCUCAUAAUUUGGUCUUUAUUCUCACUUUUUCGCAUGCCUAUCUAAAAUUUUAACUCAUCUAAUUUUACAUUUGGAUUUAAAUUAGGAGCUUACACAAAACAAUAUGAUGCUUUAGAAAAGAUGAAGGUUGUCUAACAAAAUAAAAGGGGGACUGAACUGAAGGAGGAAACUUCAAUCUAUUAAUUAUUCAAAAUAGGUAAAAGAAUUCCAAAGCUUGAUUUGGCAAAUUCAUCAAGGAAAAUUUUCUAGUUCUGCUAUGCUACACUACUGAAUUUUAAAAUCAGCACACAAGGGUGUGUUACUUAAAUUGCACCUAAUAAAAAUGUACAGGAAGUAACAAUUAGCUUCCAACUAUCUCAGGAUCCCAUCUAGUGAAACACUAAAUUGACAUGUGGUUCUUAGCGUAUUAAUGAAUCUGAAACAGGAAUCAAUAAUGUAUCACUCAUUUAAUCAGGUUUAAAGUUGGCUUUAUUCUUGCCAGAAAGACAAUGGGACAUACUGAUGUUGUAAUGGUCCAAAUAUGUAAAAAAGUGAAGAACUGAAGUUGUAAAAAAAGAGAGAGAGAGAGAAGAAGAAGACUUUAACUGAGUUUAGGAGUUAAAUUGCCUCUAACAAUCGAUCUUAAAGUAUAAUGGGAAUAAGUACAUUAAAUCACUUCUGGGUGCAUGAUUUCAUGAUUUGUUUGCAUUGAGUUGUAAGGAUUCCAUACACAAAAUUAGGUAUGAAAAAUUGAAUUUAGAAACACCUACUUAGACUACUGAAUGUUUGCUCCAUUUUUCAGGGAAGUGCAAAAGAUUGUAUCUAACUAUGAAGUUGUGUGAUUCUAUCAAAG